UUUGUUACAUUAAUUUAUGUUCUUAAAGCAUGGAUUGACGGAGCACGUGGUGGUCUGCAGUCGAGUACACGAUAUGUGGCCGUGCAUUCAUGAUCAAACGGUUAAAAUAUUUGAUUGAGUUUUGAUGAGUGGCGUAGAGAUAAUCCAAACUUGAACGGGAGAAAAGAUUCGUGUAGGUGGUGAUAAGAUAAAGACAGCGUAGUGUGUGGUGGGGUUGGUGUGAGUAAUAAUAAAACCCGUCUCCCUCUGUUAAGCAUCAACGUUCCAAAACUCUUAUUCCUAUCAUGUUCUCCCUACAGACAUCAAUAUAUAUAUUUACAUGUGGUUAACCUAACCUAACCCAACAACCUGCGUUUCAUAUUGCAGAGAGAGAGAAAGGGAAAGGGAGAAGAGGUUGAGGAAGUGAUCGGAGAUGGGUGGGUUGGUAAAGCAUAAGAGAAUCAAUAUUUCUCACUGUUUUUGCCGAUUCCACCCAUUCCUAUGAUUUCCUCUGCUUUCUCUCUUUCCACUCUCCUCUUACCUUCUCUUACAUAUCUAUGUUCGUUAUCAAUGAGGCGGGGUGAAGUUGUUGUGCAUUCUCUCCUUCAUCUGUCAUUGCUAGUGUUGUAGUGCGUCACUAGUGCUUAGGGUUGGAAAGGUGUGUGGUGUUGUGGAUGACGCUCCUUUUGCGCGUUGAAGCUUUCGUUAUGUGGUUGGUCGCGCUCCUUCAUUGUGCUCAAGCUAUCUUGUUGCUCGUGGUGUUUUGGGUUUUGUUGCCGUGGCAAGUAAGUUUUGAUCAAUACUUGUUUUACUAUUGAGACAUA